CAGAAAGAACCCUGAUCAUAGCCAAAAUGCAGCAGACAGACACACUGAGUAGAGCAUGAAUGAUUGGAGAGUCCUGCAUGGCACCAGCGCCCUAUAGAAUAUACUGAAGGCCAAUUUCAUAAGAAGCAGGAAAGUUUCAUUGUAUUGAGCAGCAGUGACUGGACAUCUCUAACUGCAGCCAAAUUCUGCAGAUUAUCGAGAAAACAGUUUGCAAAGGAGUGAGAAAACGUCAUUCAAGAAAACUUUCCUGGUUUGGGUGGACAUAGCCGAAGUGGAUUUGAAUAUCUGUCUUUACAAGUCAAAAUUUAUACCAGGAAGCUCUAAUGAAAAUGGUGUCACUCAACAAAUCUAUAAGUAAAUUCAUUCUAAAGACUUAAUGAAUUCAUUCCCAACAUCUGGAACAUUAUUAAUUUCCUUUCAUUCUUUGCAACCUACAUAAUUAAAUUAAGAAAUUAUAAUUUAGGUCAGCCUGUUGUGAAGAGAUUUUAUUUAAUGUAAUCAGUCUUUAGAAGAGCCUGUUCCUAGUCACCUUUGUUGCCCUUUCAAGAACAUCAAAGCACUAUCUAGAGUGAUGAAAAGCAUGGCCUGUGAUGCUGGGUUGGAAGCCCAGCCCAGCCUGCCCCUCCUAUCACUAUCUAUGUGUGAAUUUGGUAAAUUGCUGAAACUCUAAGCAUUUGUUUCUCUAUCUUUAAAAAGGGGUCAUAAGAAUAGUAAUAACCUCACUGGGCAUUAGUGAGGAUCUGAUGAAUUCGUGUGAGCAAUGCCCUCUACCCAGUGCCUGACACAGUAACUGGUCAAUAAAAGAUUGUUUGCCAUGUUUGAAAAGUAAGCAGUAUAAUAUUUUUUACUAUAUAGUACUCUGUUGCCACAAUGUAACUAUGUAACUAGAGUUAAGUAGAAAUGCUCCUAUUGACAAAGAAUUUUGAUAUUUCUAGGAUGUGAAGCUGAUUCUACUUUGUUCUAUAAAAUCCUUCAAUGGUUUCCCAUAAUUUUGCCAAAAGUGUGCAAAACCCUCAUCGUGAUACACAGAUUAUCUCAUCAUCUUCCCUGCCCUCACUCCAUAUUUUCCCAGCUUUGUUCACUACACUCUGGGCUGGAAUAGAUGCACUAGACAUACGACACUGCUAAUUGCCCCUUGUCCAUGGCCGUGUUCCUUUGUAUAAGCUGUUGGCAACCCUCUCUUUGCCUUCCUUUACCUUCUGCCACACUUGUGCUCCUCUUUAU
rnacentral:lncRNA from 10 species